CUGGGGGAUGUCGACCAAGAACAAAAACACAGGGUGAAAACCCUAGCUUCAUGAAUCAAGCAAUUGAAUGCUUAAAUCAAAAGAAAAUCUGAUGCAUGAGCUCAAAUUUCGAAUAGCAAGUUCCAAUUUGUGAAGUGGCGUGAAAGAAGAAGGUUCCAACACUAGGAAAUCGGAAGGCUCACAAGAUCGAGGUAAAUCCUCAACUCAAGCGAUUGGUCGACUUGGAACGAGCGCACUUGAUCUACGCCCAUCUCACGCUUCCGUUAUAGUUAAUUUAAUGUGGUCCUAGUUUUAGUCUUGUGAAUUUUUAACUUAUGUCAUCUUUUGAUGUCCUUGUAGUUGGGCAAAAACUUAAUAGUAGUAGUUUGUUUUAGUUUUGAACAA